CGUGGAGGGACUUACUCAACAGGCCGAUGUAUCAUGGUUGGACCUUCUGGUUCCUCUCAGAACAGCUAUUCAGGCAGUCAGGGUGGAGUAGUCUACACAAUAAGCAAGAGUGGAUGUACACCUGUAAGCACUAUUUUUACAUUCUCUUUUUUGUCCCCAGCAUAACUAUAUUUAUGGUAACUUUCAAUGGCAUUAUUUGAUAAAUGUUUA